AAUACUGUGAAAGUACUUAUAUUCGUGGGGUACCAAUUUUCGUGGUUUUCGUGGAUGACUGUAUCCACGAAUUUAAGUGUCCAACGAAAUAAAACAACCAUUGUACAAUCAAGACAUGGAAAGAUCCCCAUCGGUAGGUUUGACUACUGAUAUGAUCUAGAGAAUAUAUUGAAUAACGCCAAAUCUGAAAAUACUUUAAUAGCAGUCACUGAACUACAACCACAUGCAAGAUAAUAUCCAUUUAAUCUUUAAUAACCUUAACUGUACAACUUUUGAUCUUUUUAUUCUCAUAAAAAAUAUUUUUGAUCGACGAAAGUCAGAUUUCCGGUAUUGAUAUGCCAGUAUGAUAAAGUGUUCAUUUCAUAUCCUCAUAGUUCUCGUACAUAAGGGAAAUAAUAAUUUCAUGCUGGGCUUGAUUUUGAUAAGAAUUAUUUGACAAUAAGCAUUUGUUUAUGUUACUAUUUUCUUAAGGUGAUAUGUUUAUGGCCUAAUUAACACCUUUGAUGGUCUUUAAUGUGUUGAUCACUUUAUAUCAUGUGUUAAUUAGUGUUAUCACUACGAUUUACACGGGUCAAUGUUUACUUUGCAAUUUCCUUCAAUCAAGGCUAUUUGUAACCUUCGUUUCUAAAUGCUUUAAUUUUUCAAUUAAUUUUUUUUAUUAGAAAACUAAAAUCCACGAAUCUAAAUACCCACGAACAUGUUAAUAAUGCUCAAACCACGAAAA
rnacentral:lncRNA from 1 species